rnacentral:lncRNA from 1 species
AUUAUAAUAAUUUUCUAAUCUCAAAACUUAAUUCCUAUGAUUUAAUAAUAAUUUGUGAAUAAGAAAGCAUUAUUCAAAAUUUUAUGCAUUAAUAUUAAGGUUAAGCAUUUAUUUAAAUACCUUAAUCAAAAGGCAUUAAAUAAAUACCUAAAUUUUAUUAUUUUUCCUAAGGUUUAAGAAUUUUAAUGCAUAAAGAAAAAUAAAAUAAUCCUAAUAAAAUUGGUUUCACUAUUUUUGGACAUUUCUACAAUUUCUAAUGAAUUAAAUGGUGAUAAACGAAUUUAAACUAUUUAUCUGCAAAAGAAAAACCUAUGAUUAUCUAAACCCCCCGGAAAAACCUUUCUCACUUACCCCUAUAUACCUCCUGCGACUGACCUGCGGGUCCCAAGGCCCGGC